UCUUCCUUUAUGGUUCACUGGUCUUUCCUGAGUCUCAGUGGGUUUUGUGUUUGUUUUCAGGUAGUUUAUAACACCCCAGAAAGUGAGGUUUUGACUAAGCAACUGGUUUUGGUUUCUGCGAGGAGGAAUUGAGUGGCAUUAAGGGCAAGUGGGGACAAGGCCAGCCUAGUCCCAUGCAAAAAUUCCCCAAUGUAAGCGUUUUACCAUUGUACAGCAUCAUCACUGUGCCAGCCCAAAGCCCUGAGCCUCCUGCUAGCAUUUCCCAUGCAACAAAUUGUCCCUCUGAGCACAGAUGACACUCUGAUAGAGAAAUGCUGGAAAAUGAAAAUCAAUUGGUCCAUUUUGUGAGAUGCCUCAUUCAUAAGACGGUGUCUCUUUUCAGUUCUAGUGGUGCUACAGAGGCUCCUGCACAGAGUGGAGGGGACAGUCUGAUUCGUGGGUCCUGCCUUUCAGUGAGAAGAUCUGGUAUAAAGCACCACCAUAGAAGCUGUCAUUCUGUGUACAAUGUGCCACUUAUAAUUGCCAUUGCUGCCAUCAGAACUGCUUAUUUUGCCAAUGGAAUUUAAAUGACAUCUGGAUGUGAGCCUUGCCUCAACAGCAGCCUAGAGAUGGCAGAAUCCCCAGCAGGAAAAAUCAGACAGCAAGCGCUACAGUGAAGGCAAGGAGACUGGGUAGGAACUGGGACUAUAUCUUCUGAAUGGAGUUCUGCUCAGGGCAGGAUGUGAGCCCCUCUCCAAGCCUUGCUAUGGGCUCCUGUAUUUAUUAGGAGCAGACACUUCUGCGCAAGUGGAAUUGUUCUUGCAGGUAAAGUGAUGGCAGAAACCGAGGAAGCUGAAAUAGAGCUGCUGCAGUUUUACAGCAUCAAGGUGCCGUGAGUAAAACAGCUCACCUCCAAACUGCACAUUUCACGGAGCUCCACAGCCCCUUGGAAAUGGAAGCUUGUAGAAACUGUCUCUGUGAUCUUUAAUGGAUUUUUAAAGAUGACAAGAAAGGAAAUGGGAAACUAAAGGAAUGGAAGACAUAAAUUCCCCAAAGGUGCAUUCUGAAGUAAAUCAGAGUAACUGAAAAAGUGAACUCUUUGAGCCCUGGGAUAUCUCCCAGGUUUUUCAGCUGGACACUUACAGCUUGUCAGGUCCCUGAACACCUCUGCUCUGGGCAUGCUUUGACACAGCAAGUCACAGAAAGAUGAACAACAUCACCUGAAGUGCUGUUUGAGGGGCAGAAAAUUGCUCCCAUUGCACACCAUGCUGCCUUUACUCUAAAUCACAUGACUUAUUACAACCUUCCCCUUUAUAAAAGUGCCAUUUAGGUAUGUUAACUUCUCCAGCAGUAAUAGGCAUGUUUUCCUUCCUUAUUUCCACAAUGCAGUCAAAGAAAGAGGUGAAGAUCAAUUCAUAUAAAAUCAAACUGGUAUUGUUCUCAGGGCUAUGGCUACACGAAGGCUAAAUAACAAUAGGCAAGAACAAGAAGCUUAAAAAAUCUCUGUGCUACACAAUAUGUGUUAUUUAAAUGUGUCUGUUUCUAUAAACUGGUAGGGAAAAAUAAUAGCUCUCCUUCCAAAGAUCUCUGACUGCAGUUCUGCCUUGUAGUUCUCAGCUUGCAAUACAGGUGGAGGCUGAAUGCAGUCAAACUCUCUGGAAGAAAAAGAGAAAAUAUUUUUAAGCGGUUGCAUUUCUUUAUUAAACUGAUGAAAUUAUGUAAUGUAUGUUCAUUUAGUCGAGUAAUAUUUGGAUAAAUGAAUUUCUAGCAAAAUUACUUAGUCUUAUGUCUUAAUAGCAAAAUAUUUUUGUGUAUGCUGAAACAAACAAACUACAUAUUUUAGUGGGCAGUGAUUUUGUGCAGCCCUAGUCCUUUUGAGGAGAGGUGGUCUGAUAGGGCACACUACCUCCCUUGUUUAGGGUGUGUGGGCAUUGCUGCUCCGUCCCUCCCUGGCCUCCCUUCACACAGCAGUACUGGACUGCACACUGUGGCCAUGCUGAGGACACAGCCUUCCUUCUGCAGCCCUGUGGGGCAUAGGGAACCCUGUGCUGAAUUGUGCCAGGACAGCCACAUCUCUGAAUGUGACAGGGUGACUAUCAGUGUCUGUGCUGUCUACUUGAUACCAGAGCUUUAUACUGAAAUGUUGGAGGAAUUACAGCAUUAUAGUUAAAGCUUAAUUACCUUGGAGUCUUCUGGUUGUUUGUUCUCACUAAAAAAAAAGUACACAUAAAAUUGACCUCUUACCACCUAUUUGUCUGCAAUCUAUUGGUAAUCAAUUUGAUUAGCUGUUUCUUUCUACAGAAAUUGGGCUACAGGAAAACAAAAUCUUUAUAUAGAGUGAAACAAUGAAUACUGAUAAAGAUAGUGGCAAGUAUUGCCCAUUAUAGUGCUCUAAUGAUCUAAUGCAUGUACUAGGGCAGUCACUUCAGACCUUGUUCACGAAAUGUUACUCUGGCUUUCUUCUCUGGUGUCAUCGUGACCAUGGAAAGCAUUGCAGUGCCACGGUUUUACCCAGCAGCCAUAAAUAACACUAGUCAGACAUGAGAAGGAGAAACAUAUUCUGUAUUCUCUGGCAUUGUGAAUCAUUGAUUGUGCUUUCAAGUGUAAGGUAAGGCAUGUACCAACCACUAGCUCUAAACUAUCUGUGUUCCUAACCUAAU